rnacentral:rRNA from 1 species
GGGUGUGAUCAUACCGGUGUUAAUGCAUCAGAUCCCAUCAGAACUCUACAGUUAAGCGUACUUGGGCUAGAGUAGUACUGGGAUGGGUGACCUCCCAGGAAGUCCUAGUGUUGCUUCCU